GGUUAAGCGACUAAGCGUACACGGUGGAUGCCCCGGCAGUCAGAGGCGAUGAAGGGCGUGCUAAUCUGCGAUAAGCGCCGGUAAGGUGAUAUGAACCGUUAUAACCGGCGAUACCCGAAUGGGGAAACCCAGUGUGAUUCGUCACACUAUCAUUAACUGAAUCCAUAGGUUAAUGAGGCGAACCGGGGGAACUGAAACAUCUAAGUACCCCGAGGAAAAGAAAUCAACCGAGAUUCCCCCAGUAGCGGCGAGCGAACGGGGAGGAGCCCAGAGCCUGAAUCAGCAUGUGUGUUAGUGGAAGCGUCUGGAAAGGCGCGCGAUACAGGGUGACAGCCCCGUACACAAAAGCGCAUGUGCUGUGAGCUCGAUGAGUAGGGCGGGACACGUGGUAUCCUGUCUGAAUAUGGGGGGACCAUCCUCCAAGGCUAAAUACUCCUGACUGACCGAUAGUGAACCAGUACCGUGAGGGAAAGGCGAAAAGAACCCCGGCGAGGGGAGUGAAAAAGAACCUGAAACCGUGUACGUACAAGCAGUGGGAGCACCCUUCGGGGUGUGACUGCGUACCUUUUGUAUAAUGGGUCAGCGACUUAUAUUCUGUAGCAAGGUUAACCGUAUAGGGGAGCCGGAGGGAAACCGAGUCUUAACCGGGCGUUAAGUUGCAGGGUAUAGACCCGAAACCCGGUGAUCUAGCCAUGGGCAGGUUGAAGGUUGGGUAACACUAACUGGAGGACCGAACCGACUAAUGUUGAAAAAUUAGCGGAUGACCUGUGGCUGGGGGUGAAAGGCCAAUCAAACCGGGAGAUAGCUGGUUCUCCCCGAAAGCUAUUUAGGUAGCGCCUCGUGAAUUCAUCUCCGGGGGUAGAGCACUGUUUCGGCUAGGGGGCCAUCCCGGCUUACCAACCCGAUGCAAACUGCGAAUACCGGAGAAUGUUAUCACGGGAGACACACGGCGGGUGCUAACGUCCGUCGUGAAGAGGGAAACAACCCAGACCGCCAGCUAAGGUCCCAAAGUCAUGGUUAAGUGGGAAACGAUGUGGGAAGGCCCAGACAGCCGGGAUGUUGGCUUAGAAGCAGCCAUCAUUUAAAGAAAGCGUAAUAGCUCACUGGUCGAGUCGGCCUGCGCGGAAGAUGUAACGGGGCUAAACCAUGCACCGAAGCUGCGGCAGCGAACGUAUCACCCAAGACAACUUUACGGAGUUGACGAUUGACGGAGCGAAGCGACGUCAAAGCGUUCAUUAAAGUCGAGUUGGCUUAGGGAUACGUUCGUUGGGUAGGGGAGCGUUCUGUAAGCCUGUGAAGGUGUGUCGUGAGGCAUGCUGGAGGUAUCAGAAGUGCGAAUGCUGACAUAAGUAACGAUAAAGCGGGUGAAAAGCCCGCUCGCCGGAAGACCAAGGGUUCCUGUCCAACGUUAAUCGGGGCAGGGUGAGUCGACCCCUAAGGCGAGGCCGAAAGGCGUAGUCGAUGGGAAACGGGUUAAUAUUCCCGUACUUGGUGUUACUGCGAAGGGGGGACGGAGAAGGCUAUGUUGGCCGGGCGACGGUUGUCCCGGUUUAAGCGUGUAGGUGUGUGUUCGGGUAAAUCCGGUUCACUUUAACACUGAGGCGUGACGACGAGGCACUACGGUGCUGAAGCAACAAAUGCCCUGCUUCCGGGAAAAGCCUCUAAGCAUCAGGUAACAUCAAAUCGUACCCCAAACCGACACAGGUGGUCAGGUAGAGAAUACCAAGGCGCUUGAGAGAACUCGGGUGAAGGAACUAGGCAAAAUGGUGCCGUAACUUCGGGAGAAGGCACGCUGACACGUAGGUGAAGUGAUUUACUCAUGGAGCUGAAGUCAGUCGAAGAUACCAGCUGGCUGCAACUGUUUAUUAAAAACACAGCACUGUGCAAACACGAAAGUGGACGUAUACGGUGUGACGCCUGCCCGGUGCCGGAAGGUUAAUUGAUGGGGUCAGCGCAAGCGAAGCUCCUGAUCGAAGCCCCGGUAAACGGCGGCCGUAACUAUAACGGUCCUAAGGUAGCGAAAUUCCUUGUCGGGUAAGUUCCGACCUGCACGAAUGGCGUAAUGAUGGCCGGGCUGUCUCCACCCGAGACUCAGUGAAAUUGAACUCGCUGUGAAGAUGCAGUGUACCCGCGGCAAGACGGAAAGACCCCGUGAACCUUUACUAUAGCUUGACACUGAACAUUGAGCCUUGAUGUGUAGGAUAGGUGGGAGGCUUUGAAGUGUGGACGCCAGUCUGCAUGGAGCCGACCUUGAAAUACCACCCUUUAAUGUUUGAUGUUCUAACGUGGACCCGUAAUCCGGGUUGCGGACAGUGUCUGGUGGGUAGUUUGACUGGGGCGGUCUCCUCCUAAAGAGUAACGGAGGAGCACGAAGGUUGGCUAAUCCUGGUCGGACAUCAGGAGGUUAGUGCAAUGGCAUAAGCCAGCUUGACUGCGAGCGUGACGGCGCGAGCAGGUGCGAAAGCAGGUCAUAGUGAUCCGGUGGUUCUGAAUGGAAGGGCCAUCGCUCAACGGAUAAAAGGUACUCCGGGGAUAACAGGCUGAUACCGCCCAAGAGUUCAUAUCGACGGCGGUGUUUGGCACCUCGAUGUCGGCUCAUCACAUCCUGGGGCUGAAGUAGGUCCCAAGGGUAUGGCUGUUCGCCAUUUAAAGUGGUACGCGAGCUGGGUUUAGAACGUCGUGAGACAGUUCGGUCCCUAUCUGCCGUGGGCGCUGGAGAACUGAGGGGGGCUGCUCCUAGUACGAGAGGACCGGAGUGGACGCAUCACUGGUGUUCGGGUUGUCAUGCCAAUGGCACUGCCCGGUAGCUAAAUGCGGAAGAGAUAAGUGCUGAAAGCAUCUAAGCACGAAACUUGCCCCGAGAUGAGUUCUCCCUGAGACUUUAGGUCUCCUGAAGGAACGUUGAAGACGACGACGUUGAUAGGCCGGGUGUGUAAGCGCAGCGAUGCGUUGAGCUAACCGGUACUAAUGAACCGUGAGGCUUAACCUU
rnacentral:rRNA from 1 species